rnacentral:lncRNA from 1 species
AAAAAGAAAGAUCUCAUAUAUUAAAUAGAAUAGGUUGCAUUACAUGGACACAAUCCAAAGUAUAUAUACAUGAUUUAUAUACAUUGACCAUGACAAUGAAAUUAUAUAACAUUAGUGGAUAACUAUCUGCUACUAGCCCCAUUUUCCACCUUGCAAUCAACUUAGCCAUGCACCAUCCAUUCAUCUCGGCAAUCUAGAACAACAGCAAAAUGCUGACAUGAGUAAUAUAUCAUUAGAGAAAAAAAAAUGAAGUUAAUAGAGCAAUAUAAUCUAAAGAGAAGCAACAUACAAAGGUUGAAGCCCAUGAGAUAGCUAAUCCAACUGUAUGAUCAAUAAUUUUGACAUUUUUUAUUGCCGUAUCAACUAAACAUAUUUUUCCAAUGUGGAUCAUUACACAUUGCUGACAAUUCAUUUCCAAAGCUAACAACCUGAAUUUUAUAUGCUAGGUCGGUACUUACCUGUGUGGCAAUCAGAGUUCGUCUGGGCCAACAGGUACAUGGAUUUUGUUUAUACAUUUCCCAAAUUGCAAUGAUAAGCACAUCUCUGAAAAUCAAGAGUGCGGUGAGAAUACAAUCAAAUCAUGGUCAAUGGUUCCACCUUUAGUUAUUGAAGGCACACAAUUAGAAUAUAGAAUAUAAAAGAUCCCACUAAUAAAAAUAUACAAUAAAUAGGUUGUUUUGGCGCUAUUCUUGAAUUGCUGGUCAUGCAUGCCAAUAGAAUUAUCUAGCAACACGUGUACACUUCUUUUUACCAUUUAUUGUAUACACAUGUGCAGGGCAGAACAAAAUCUCACGAUAAUGUAAUAAAUACAGCAUGCUUGCAUAGAAAUUAUUUUGCUCCAUAGACCACUUCUAAAUUAUGCCCCAUAUUACUUAGUACAUCAGGAUGUUAUGUUUUAUACUGAAGCACAAAGAGAUAUCUAAAGAUAUACAUAGGUCAUAUCAUCGUUUGCACUGCUGGACAUCCAUACACAUAGUUUUAACAUUUUUUGUUAACUGAACAAAAAAGUCCAACAGUACUAACCCCUGCAAUACAUAUAUAGAUAGAGGGAGUCAAGAGUAGCUCUACCUGUAUUCUUUCUUGAGUGUCGGUCAAAAUUGGAGAUAUCAGAAAGAGGGUCUUGUCAGUGCUUUCCAGUUACGAGCCACCUAAGAAUUAGAUACGAACAAAUAUGUAGAAUAGAAGAUAAGUGGACAGUGGAUGUACCAGAGUGGUGUAUAUAGUUGGUUCAACAGUAGGACACCAAAGUGAUUAUGAGGAGAAGAAAUUGUCUUGGAUUCUGCACAACUUCCACGAGAAGGAUUCAGGCAAACUCUGCACUUCUAUGGAUAGAACCUCUGAAUAAGCCAGAACCCAUUGUUAACUUUCACGGCAGCAGAAUAAAAACACAAUCAAACUACAGCAACACAGGAAAACUACUAUCAGAUUUCUUGCAUGUGAUGAUUGAGAAUGUUUAUUAGUCCAUUUAUUCACAACUCACAAGCGGAUGUGCAUGACAUGAUCCUAGCUACUCCUAUUGACGCAUUAAGUAUGCAGAGCCCAUAGGCGAUGUCAUUUUUCCAUAUGUUUGAGCCUUUCAGUUUGUGAUCGGCAUAACACAGCUGACUUGCACUGCACAAGCACUACUAAAGUUUAAUGCAUACUUUUUAUUUAAUUCAAAAUGCAUUUCCUGUCAGUAGUUAAAAGCAGCUCCUAAUUUCGGAUAAAUUUCAUGUAAUUUGCUUUGUACCUAAUUCAGAGAAAUUGAUCAUAAAUGUAGUGCCAAACUGCCAUAUGGUGUUGUUUGCUGUGUUCCUACUUCAGAGGAUUUGAUAAUAUAAACAUUUGUUGGAAGCAUUUUUUUUCUAAAGGAUUUGUUGCAGGCAAACAACAGAAUGCUUUUAGCUUGUGAUUCACCAGAUGAAAAUCACAGGGCAAGCUAAAUCAGGUCCUUGAAGAGCUAAAAUGAACAGAGGUUCAGGAUUGUGGCACUCACCUUUUCCCUAUAAGAAGUGAACUUUUAAAAUUGUUCGUGAAUAAACCUCUGAAGAUGGACGACAGACCUCAAAUUUGAUUGUAUGAACUAUUAUUUCUCAAACCCGACUGCAUUUCAUUGUGGUGCUUCCCUCUCCUCAUACCUGAAGCAUACAAUCAAAUUCUAAUCACACAUUACUUGCAGAUUAACCAGAAAGCAACACACACUACUUGCAUAUCAAUCAGUACAGAAGAUGUACCAGGACUUUAACCAGGAAAGGAACCCACAAUUGCGACCGUGCUUCCCAGAGAUAAUCGAU